rnacentral:rRNA from 1 species
CGGGGUGCAGCAGGCGCGAAAACUUUACAAUGCGGGAAACCGUGAUAAGGGGACACCGAGUGCCAGCAUCAUAUGCUGGCUGUCCGGGUGUGUAAAAUACACCCGUUAGCAAGGGCCGGGCAAGACCGGUGCCAGCCGCCGCGGUAACACCGGCGGCCCGAGUGGUGAUCGUGAUUAUUGGGUCUAAAGGGUCCGUAGCCGGUUUAGUCAGUCCUCCGGGAAAUCUGAUAGCUCAACUAUUAGGCUUUCGGGGGAUACUGCCAGGCUUGGAACCGGGAGAGGUAAGAGGUACUACAGGGGUAGGAGUGAAAUCUUGUAAUCCCUGUGGGACCACCUGUGGCGAAGGCGUCUUACCAGAACGGGUUCGACGGUGAGGGACGAAAGCUGGGGGCACGAACCGGAUUAGAUACCCGGGUAGUCCCAGCCGUAAACGAUGCUCGCUAGGUGUCAGGCAUGGCGCGACCGUGUCUGGUGCCGCAGGGAAGCCGUGAAGCGAGCCACCUGGGAAGUACGGCCGCAAGGCUGAAACUUAAAGGAAUUGGCGGGGGAGCACAAGGGCAAUUCGCGG